rnacentral:rRNA from 1 species
GACGAACGCUGGCGGCGUGCUUAACACAUGCAAGUCGAACGGAAAGGCCCUGCUUUUGUGGGGUGCUCGAGUGGCGAAUGGGUGAGUAACACGUGAGUAACCUGCCCUUGACUUUGGGAUAACUUCAGGAAACUGGGGCUAAUACCGGAUAGGAGCUCCUGCUGCAUGGUGGGGGUUGGAAAGUUUCGGCGGUUGGGGAUGGACUCGCGGCUUAUCAGCUUGUUGGUGGGGUAGUGGCUUACCAAGGCUUUGACGGGUGGCCGGCCUGAGAGGGUGACCGGCCACAUUGGGACUGAGAUACGGCCCAGACUCCUACGGGAGGCAGCAGUGGGAAAUAUUGCACAAUGGGCGGAAGCCUGAUGCAGCAACGCCGCGUGCGGGAUGACGGCCUUCGGGUUGUAAACCGCUUUCGCCUGUGACGAAGCGUGAGUGACGGUAAUGGGUAAAGAAGCACCGGCUAACUACGUG